CCUACGGGUGGCAGCAGUAAGGAAUAUUGGACAAUGGUCGCAAGACUGAUCCAGCCAUGCCGCGUGCAGGUAGAAGGCCCUAUGGGUUGUAAACUGCUUUUGUAUGGGAAUAAACCCUCCUACGUGUAGGAGGCUGAAUGUACCAUAAGAAUAAGGGUCGGCUAACUUCGUGCCAGCAGCCGCGGUAAGACGAAGGACCCGAGCGUUAUCCGGAUUCAUUGGGUUUAAAGGGUGCGUAGGCGGAUUGAUAAGUCAGUGGUGAAAGCCCGCAGCUUAACUGCGGAACUGCCAUUGAUACUGUUGAUCUUGAAUGUGUUUGAUGUGGGCGGAAUAUGACAUGUAGCGGUGAAAUGCUUAGAUAUGUCAUAGAACACCGAUUGCGAAGGCAGCUCACAAAGCCACUAUUGACGCUGAGGCACGAAAGCGUGGGGAUCAAACAGGAUUAGAUACCCCUGUAGUC
rnacentral:rRNA from 1 species